UGCUGGAUCAUCACCCUAUGUGACCUCAC
rnacentral:rRNA from 1 species